GUGAAUCAUCGAAUCUUUGAACGCAAAUUGCACUCUCCUCGGAGAGUAUGACUGUUUGAGGGUCAGCCUCUAAAAAAACGAAAUCGUUGCUGUUUCGCGGAGGCGUUCGUCGGAAAUUGGGGCAUCUUAUAUACUUUUGAUUUAAGCGACUUAAAAUUUUCCUUUGGUUCCAUGAAUGUUGCUAAGAACUAUUUCUUUACAUGUUUAAG
rnacentral:misc_RNA from 1 species